CAUACUUAUUCACAAGAGAGGCGCAAAUAAUAUUAUACAUGGGGUGGCAAAGGAGCUUCAGUCUUCUGUCUGGUUUUUCUCUGCUAUCGAUCCUGGUGACUUUUGCUUCCCGUAUGUGCUAUAUCCAGUUCCUUCGAUGUUUUCUUAGGCAGUAAGCCCUCCCUUUUUCUUUCCAUGGAUUUGCUCAUGCAUGCUUCUCUUUUGGCUUACAUGAUUUUGUUGUCUCUGUUGCUGCCGCUUUUGCUGUGGUAGCUUCAAUUCACAUACUCUUUUUUGCCAGUUUGGCUUCCGAAUUGUUGUUUUAUUUACGAUGAUCUAUUGACUUAUCAAAUAUAUAUAUCACACACCCACACACACACGGGGUUCAAAUCAAAAUAUAGUUGAUGAUCGCCAAAGGAAGAAUUUCGGCCCCUGCCGGAAAAUAUGGAAUAAAGAUCAAACAUUUUGGUGAAUAGUCGUCACCAGCUGCUAACGGACUCCGCUUGAUCGAUCAGUAGAUACGAAGAGUUUUGAGCGUGAACAGUCCAAGCUCCUCUCUGGGGCCAAGAGUUCUGAUAUUCCUAAUGACCAUUCAAAGCCAGCUUGGCAGAUGAAAACACGAGACCAUGGAACUUCAGAGUGUGCCAUGUCUAUUGUCAACCACGUGCCGAUCGUGAAAGACAUAAGUCGAACUCAGGUAUGAAAGGGAAAGGGCAAAGAAAAAGAAGAACAAGAUUACGAGUGCAUUUCUUGAUGAUAGCGGCACCAUUCCAAGCUAUAAAUAGGACAGUACACUGUACACUAGCUUUACAGGUCGCAAAAUUUCUUCUUCCUUUUUUUUUCCCUAGCAUUACCAAAUUGCCUUUGGUUCUUUCUUCAAUAUCUCUCCAAUGGUGAUUGUUGAUAGCAAGAAACCUGGGGUUUUCAAGCUGGUUACCCCCCUAAACCAGUUUGUUAUCAGCCCCUAUGCUUGUGAACAACGUGAGGGGGAUGGCGACGAUGACGAUGAUGGCGUGGAUGUAGCACCCGCUGCAUAAUUACCUACCUAUAUAAUUGGGAUUAUGGAUAUGAGAGGCUUUUUGAGCUCAUUGGUGAGGAAAAUCUGAGGUAUUUUAGGAUGUGCAUGUUAUAUAUGUGUAUGAACAUGCUGAGUUUAGCUUUGUACUGGUAUCAAAUGCCGAAUAGUGACAUUGUAGUAAUAAUUGUUUUAAUGAAAUUAAUAACAUUAUAAUCAGCUUUAUAUUAUUAUAUA